UACGUAGGGUGCGAGCGUUGCCCGGAUUUAUUGGGCGUAAAGGGCGCGUAGGCGGCUCUGCACGUCCGUUGUGAAAUCGCCCGGCUCAACUGGGCGGGGUCAGCGGAUACGGCGGAGCUCGAGCAAGCUAGGGGGCAAUGGAAUUCCCGGUGUAGUGGUGGAAUACGUAGAUAUCCGGAGGAACACCAGCGGCGAAGGCGGCUUUCUGGUCCGAUUCUGACGCUGAGGCGCGAAAGCGUGGGGAGCGAUCCGG
rnacentral:rRNA from 1 species